AUACGGAAGGUCCGGGCGUUAUCCGGAUUUAUUGGGUUUAAAGGGAGCGCAGGCGGAGAUGCAAGCGUGACGUCAAAUUUCGGGGCUCAACCCCGUCUCGCGUCGCGAACUGCGUCCCUUGGUUGCGGGAAGGGGAGGCGGAACUCGUGGUGUAGCGGUGAAAUGCAUAGAUAUCACGAAGAACUCCGAUCGCGAAGGCAGCCUUCCGGCCCGUCAACGACGCUCAUGCUCGAAGGUGCGGGUAUCAAACAGGAUUAGAUACCCUGGUAGUCUGCACAGUAAACGAUGGACACCCGCGGUUUGGCCUAUAUGGCUGAGCCGCCAAGCGAAAGCGUUAAGUGUCCCACCUGGGGAGUACGCCGGCAACGGUGAAACUCAAAUGAAUUGGCGGGG
rnacentral:rRNA from 1 species